rnacentral:lncRNA from 1 species
AUGCGUUUUUCAUUCGUCUCAUGCACGCUCCCUCUCCCCGGCCGGCUCUGCCCGCUGCUGAGGCCGCCGGAGCCGGGGGCGCGCGGCGCUGCGGGGCCGGGGCCCACGCGGGGCUCCGCCGCGGCGGGGGCGGCUCUGCCCGGCGCCCCCUCCCUGCCCCCCCGAGCCGGGCUAACGGCGACGGAAAGGGAGGAUGUGGCGACUAAGGACAAAGGCUCACAAGCCGCAGAGGAGGAACAGCCCGGUCAGCUACAGGCACAGGCAAUUACAGGCGACAGCCUCCUGCACACAGACCUCGCUCUUCCUCUUCCAGCUCUUCAGUUCACUGCAGUGAAGUCUUCCCAAAGGCUUUCUGAAAUCGGAGGAGAUAAAAUAUCUGCUCUGCAAACAUGGACAUGA